rnacentral:rRNA from 1 species
UGGGGAAUAUUGCACAAUGGGCGCAAGCCUGAUGCAGCCAUGCCGCGUGUGUGAAGAAGGCCUUCGGGUUGUAAAGCACUUUCAGCGGGGAGGAAGGCGUUAAGGUUAAUAACCUUGGCGAUUGACGUUACCCGCAGAAGAAGCACCGGCUAACUCCGUGCCAGCAGCCGCGGUAAUACGGAGGGUGCAAGCGUUAAUCGGAAUUACUGGGCGUAAAGCGCACGCAGGCGGUCUGUCAAGUCGGAUGUGAAAUCCCCGGGGUCAACCUGGGAACUGCAUUCGAAACUGGCAGGCUAGAGUCUUGUAGAGGGGGGUAGAAUUCCAGGUGUAGCGGUGAAAUGCGUAGAGAUCUGGAGGAAUACCGGUGGCGAAGGCGGCCCCCUGGACAAAGACUGACGCUCAGGUGCGAAAGCGUGGGGAGCAAACAGG